CCCUUAGAUGUCCUGGGCCGCACGCGCGCUACACUGAGUGUCUGAGAUACGAGUCUGCCUGGUCCGGCAAGGUCUAGGUAAUCGCUAAAAGACACAUCAUGCUUGGGAUAGAUUAUUGCCAAUAUUAAUCUUGAACGAGGAAUUCCUAGUAAGCGCAAGUCAACAGCUUGCGUUGAUUACGUCCCUGCCCUUUGUACACACCGCCCGUCGCUACUACUGAUUGGAUGUUUAAGCGAGGUUCUCGAACUGCUAGCGACUUAGCUUCGGUGAGGUCGCAGUGUGGGAAGUGAACCUAGCUUUGGUGUCUAGAGGAAGUAAAAGUCGUAACA
rnacentral:rRNA from 1 species